rnacentral:rRNA from 1 species
AUUGAACGCUGGCGGCAGGCCUAACACAUGCAAGUCGAACGAGUGGCGGAAGGGAGAGUAAUGUCUGGGAAACUUCCUGAGGGAGGGGGAUAACUACUGGAAACGGUAGCUGAUACCGCAUACCAUCAGCUGUGCCCAGGUGGGAUUAGCUUGUUGGUGGGGUAAAGGCUUACCAAGGCGACGAUCCCUAGCUGGUCUGAGAGGAUGACCAGCCACACUGGAACUGAGACACGGUCCAGACUCCUACGGGAGGCAGCAGUGGGGAAUAUUGGACAAUGGGCGCAAGCCUGAUGCAGCCAUGCCGCGUGUGUGAAGAAGGCCUUCGGAUUGUAAAGUACUUUAAGUUGGGAGGCGUUACCUACAGAAUAAGCACCGGCUAACUCCGUGCCAGCAGCCGCGGUAAUUC